GGCGCUGUACAUACACAUGGUAAUUAAAACAUAUCAAUGACAAUAACAUAAAACAUAAAAAAAAAAAAAAAAAUACAUCGUGUCAGAUUCAAAUACUGAAAUAAAAAAUGCCUACCAUGAAAUAAAAGGUCAAUACGAAAUACAUGUUAAAACAAAGAAUAAAAAAAUAACAAUAUAGGAUAAAAGCAUGCAGAACAAGCAAAAACUCAAUACAAAGAGUAAAAAAGCCCGUAACAGAGAAAAGAAUUCAAUCUAAUUAAAAGCAAUACGAUAAAAAUGAGUUUUUAACUGUAUUUUAAAACACUCUAGGGACUUGCAUUGUCUUAAACUGUUCGAGAGAUUGAUCCAUAGAGAUGCCGCUACCCAAUCAAAUUGUCUUUCACCGUACGUCUUCGUUCUCACUUUUGGAACGGUGAGUAGUUUUGUGGAACUUGAAC
rnacentral:lncRNA from 1 species